ACGAGUGAGUAACACGUGGAUAACCUACCUAUAAGACUGGGAUAACUUCGGGAAACCGGAGCUAAUACCGGAUAACAUAUUGAACCGCAUGGUUCAAUAGUGAAAGGCGGCUUUGCUGUCACUUAUAGAUGGAUCCGCGCCGUAUUAGCUAGUUGGUAAGGUAACGGCUUACCAAGGCAACGAUACGUAGCCGACCUGAGAGGGUGAUCGGCCACACUGGAACUGAGACACGGUCCAGACUCCUACGGGAGGCAGCAGUAGGGAAUCUUCCGCAAUGGGCGAAAGCCUGACGGAGCAACGCCGCGUGAGUGAUGAAGGUCUUCGGAUCGUAAAACUCUGUUAUCAGGGAAGAACAAAUGUGUAAGUAACUGUGCACAUCUUGACGGUACCUGAUCAGAAAGCCACGGCUAACUACGUGCCAGCAGCCGCGGUAAUACGUAGGUGGCAAGCGUUAUCCGGAAUUAUUGGGCGUAAAGCGCGCGUAGGCGGUUUUUUAAGUCUGAUGUGAAAGCCCACGGCUCAACCGUGGAGGGUCAUUGGAGACUGGAAAACUUGAGUGCAGAAGAGGAAAGCG
rnacentral:rRNA from 1 species